GCCCCUCCCGGAAGCGCCCUCCAAGCGAGUGCAUGGAGCGCCAGCCGAGCGCCCCGGAGUCUGUUCUCGCCUCGGCAGCGCUCUUCGCCUGGGGUGCAAAUAGCUAUGGGCAACUUGGCCUUGGUCAUAAGGAAGAUGUGCUGCUGCCCCAGCCACUGGCUGACUUCUGUAAUCCUGGGAGUAUCAAGAGCCUUACAGGAGGAGGGGGCCACUCUGCAGCUGUCACAGAUGGAGGAGGCCUUUUUGUUUGUGGCCUGAAUAAAGAUGGUCAGUUGGGGCUUGGUCACACAGAAGAUGUUCUGUGUUUCACUGUCUGCAAGCCUCUCCUGGGUUGUCCCAUCCGACAGGUGGCCUGUGGCUGGGAUUUUACCAUCAUGCUCACAGAAAAAGGCCAAGUUCUAUCAUGUGGAUCCAAUGCCUUUGGACAGUUAGGAGUUCCGAAUGGGCCUCGAAGAUGUGUGGUCCCCCAGGUUGUUGAGGUACUGAGAGAGCAAGUUGUUUGUGUGGCGGCUGGGCUGCGGCAUGCCUUAGCCACUACAGUGAGUGGCAGCGUGUUCCAGUGGGGGACUGGCCUGGCGUCAUCGGGACGACGUUUGUGUCCUGGACAGACUCUCCCAUUGUUUCUGACAGCAAAGGAACCAAGCCGAGUGACUGGCCUGGAGAGUUCUACAGCAGUAUGUGUUGUUGCUGGAUCCGACCACUCAGCCUCAUUGACAGAUACAGGAGAGCUGUACGUCUGGGGCUGUAACAAGCACGGGCAACUUGCUUCCCAGGCUUCUUUCUUACCUGUGCCCCAGAAAAUAGAAGCACACUGCUUUCAGGAUGAGAAGGUCACAGCUGUCUGGAGUGGCUGGACGCACCUGGUUGCUCAGACAGAAACUGGCAAUGUGUUUACCUGGGGCCGAGGAGACUAUGGUCAACUAGGGAGGAAGUUGGCAUCUCAUGAAGGCCAGAAGCUAGAGGAGUGGGAUUCAUCCCUCCCCUGCAGGAGGCCACAGAGCAGCAUGCCCUUGCCUCUGCGUUGCCUGACAGGAGCGGCUGAGGUUUCUUGUGGCUCAGAGCACAACUUGGCAGUAAUUGAUGGUGUGUGUUGCUCCUGGGGCUGGAAUGAACACGGCAUGUGUGGGGAUGGCACGGAAGCCAACGUCUGGGCUCCAAAGCCAGUGCAGGCUCUGUGGUCACCAUCAAGACUCCUUGUGGGCUGUGGGGCCGGUCAUUCCAUGGCCCUCUGUCAGCUGCCGACACACCCUGAGCAGGGCCGGGAUCCCAAAGUCACCUCCCCAUUUCUACAUGCCACAGAGGACACUGAACCUCAGGAGGCCAUGGACAAAGAGAAACUGGAAACAGACACAAUCAGCAGCUCCAACGCCAAGCCAGUCUGACAGGUCCAGAAAUGGGGGACUGUGACAGAACCUUUAGUAAAGUGGCUUUUCCCACCCAAAGUUGCCCCAGAGAAUCAUCUGUUGAGUGGUGAGGUUGACUCAAGAGGGGCCGCUUGCCCAGUGCUCGGGCUCAAGGAAGAGGACACCCUUUCUACUCAGUGGAUGCGAAUGAGAGGCUCUGCAGCCCCACCCUGCAAGAGACAGCUUCUUCCUCGGGGCCCAGCAAGGCUGUGGCUUAGAUGACUGCAGUAGUAGCCGGGGCCCAUGCUUGGCCUAGCCACAGCAGACCAGAGGCCCAGAACAGAAUGGAGACAGCGCCUGAAGGCAAUAAAAACCCAACUCCGUGCUUUGUCUCAAAAGUCAGCUUUUUAUUGCCAGGGCCCGGCCCGGGAGGGGAGGCCGUUGCGCUGAAGCAUCGUUGCUCUCUUUCCAGGAAAUGCUGCAGUGAGCGCUUGAGAUGUUGCAUUUUUUUUCAACUCAAGCAUGUGUUUUUCAAAAAUAUCAUCCUCCCCCCCGACACACACUAAUUUUAGAAUCAGAUCAAAGCCAAGCUACUGUCCUCUGUUUCUGUUGGGAAAAUACUAUAUUUAUUCAAGAUGCAGAAGCGUGUCUCUGCAAACCUCCGAUUGCUUCAGGAAAACAAAUCUGCUUUAGACUAGACAGAAACCAUGAUACAAAAUUUAUUUCAUGCUCGAAUCUCUUUGCAUAACAUUGGGCAUGCAGUUUUUACUCUGAAGUACUAAAUUGUGUACAAUGCCAAGUUGUGCCUUAGUAGAGGUGGAGGGGAGGCACCCCUCCUGUGGUCCUGAACUUGAGGUGCUCUACAUCCUGGUUUUAAAAUGACAUUGGAAAAUCCAUACGGUGCUGAUUAUGAACAAUUUGUUAUGAAACUUGGUCACACUGGAUCUACACACCGAUAAGAUGAGAGAAUCAACCUAAACUAGCUGCUGCCGGGGGUUCUUGGGGAGGCAUCCGCUGGGUCACAAGCAUGCCAGGCAGAGACGGAAGAAGGCAGCAGUACGAGUUUCCACAAUCCUAUUUGGAGCAAAGUUCUCAGUUUCCGCAUGAGAGAUGAGCUAUGAAGGCGAGGUCAAUAUGACCGAUGACUGACCAACUGCCCUUUUUGAAACCUUUCCUCUGGAUCUUGUAUACAAAAAGGGAAGCAAUCCAUUCCCUGGCCCCAUCCUUCCUCCCCCCUGCCCCACUCCCAGAAGUAUACAGGUUUCUACCGAGUGCCAUUACAGUUUGGCUCCAACCACGUGUGUAAAAGUUAAGAGGUCUGAAAGAAAAUGAAGGACUUUUGCUUUUUCCUUCUGUUCUUCGUGGUGGUCAGGGUAAUCAAUCAUACAGUUGCAGGGGGGUUGGUAGGUUUGGAUUAGCUGGGUUUUCUGUUUAACUUCAUGCAAGUCAUGCUAAAGAUCCCCUCCACCCCCCUCCCCAAAUAAAAGAUAACUUUUAAAAAAA